rnacentral:rRNA from 1 species
CCUACGGGAGGCAGCAGUAAGGAAUAUUGGUCAAUGGGAGAAAUCCUGAACCAGCAACGCCGCGUGAAGGACGAAGGGCUUUUAGCUUGUAAACAUCUUUUUUGAGGGAAAAAUAUACGAUUACUUCGUGUUGAUUGUACCUUGAGAAUAAGCCCCGGCUAACUACGUGCC